UUGGAAACCAAAAUUUCAUGGGAUAUAAGUAACAAUUGCAAGUGGAAUUAAUAGUUGAAAUCUACUUUCCCUCAUGCAUAGAACUUGAUGUGGUAUGAGGGUUGCUAAGCCCGGGCUGGUCUAACCGGAGACUGGGCUGUAUUAUACGGAUAAUAACCUGACACAAAUCUUAAUCCAAUCACUUUCCACCCACAACAAAGUUUAUAUUUAGUAUCCAAUCAAAAUGUCACAGGAGAAAUUAAAAUUUCGCACAACGACAACAACAAUCUGAUUAUAGUUGUGAUCACUAUAAAAUAUAUCAACAACAACAGUAUCUAAUUAGCACCAACCAAUCAAAUGACAGAUUGAAAAAAUCUUUUGUCUCGUAGACCAACCAGAUUUACAACUGAAAUACGGUUGUAAGGCAUGGACUUUUGUUUAGGUUUGUUUCAGGCCUAUUUAUUUAUUUAUAGGCCUGAUGGCAGGUUAGGGCCUGACCAACAACUGAGGUAGGAUGCAUCAUCACUAUGGACCCCAGACAGGCAUGUCAAUUUUUGGAAAUCAAAGUUGUCUAUAAAGUCAUAAAGACCCAAUACUUUAUUUCACAAAGAACUGCCUCCCCCAAUACCCCCAAGUAAAUCCAUCCCACUGCUACACAAAAGAAUACUUCUUUCCCUCUAAGUUUACAAUGAAAGUAUAUUUUUUACAGAUCUCUGC